rnacentral:lncRNA from 1 species
AUACUCAUAUUUAUUUGUAAUGACAUGCUAAUAAUUCAUCUGGCUGUUGUAGUUUUUUGGACAUUUACUGCGUGCCCAUUUCCUGAGCCGUUCUGAGAGUUCCCAAUCUCUGACCACAAACAUCGCCUUCGUCGCCUGUAACGGUCUGGGCCUCAUCUUCUCACUUCUCAUCAUCCCAACAUUGUGCUGCUGGUGUAAACCGAGAAAGCGUCUGAUGGUCAUCCACAUGAACGCAGCUGACGUCGUGGAUCAUCCGCGUCCAGAAUCUUCCCCGCCGGCCUAUAGUCCGGUCCCGUCUUCAGAUCCGC